UGACCAGGACGUUCUCCUGCCUCUCCAGCUCCAUGAUGACGGGCUCCAGACGCUGGACCAGGUCCUCGUACGACUGGAGGGCAAAGGUCAAACAGUCACCUGAUCCAGGAUCAGAAUACAGUGAGUCAACUGGACACGUCACUGGAUCGGUUUCCUUAAAUAACAGUCGUAUCAUCACUGGCCCUGAUAUGUAAAGGCUGUUUUGAUCGGCAGUUUUGGAAUAUGAAAUUAUUAAAAUCAGAAUUUAUUAAAACAAACCUUUGACAUUAAUAGAUUUUAAAGUCUAUGGAGACUAAUCUACAAAUUUGUAGAGUAGAUGUGAAACUAAUAUUUCUCCCCCAUUUUUUCUGUUUUAAUGUUUCCUUUCUUCCGUUUUAUUUUUUCAUUUUUUCUCUAUUUUCUUCUCUUUUGUUUUUCUCUUUUCCUUUUUUCCACUUGAACUCUCUCUUUAUACCUUGACGACUCGGAUCCUUCACUACUUGCAGAAACGAAUUAAGUUACAAACAAAGAGUUUUUCGUGGACAGACUGAUUAUUACUCGUACUUUGUGGAAGCGUCUGAAUUAUUUUUUAAACCCUGAUUAUCUCAAAUGUCA